rnacentral:rRNA from 1 species
GACGAACGCUGGCGGCGUGCCUAAUACAUGCAAGUUGAGCGCUGAAGGCUGGUUCUUGUACCAACUGGAUGAGCAGCGAACGGGUGAGUAACGCGUGGGGAAUCUGCCUUUCAGCGGGGGACAACAUUUGGAAACGAAUGCUAAUACCGCAUAAAAACUUUAAACACAAGUUUUAAGUUUGAAAGAUGCAAUUGCAUCACUCAAAGAUGAUCCCGCGUUGUAUUAGCUAGUUGGUGAGGUAAAGGCUCACCAAGGCGAUGAUACAUAGCCGACCUGAGAGGGUGAUUGGCCGCAUUGGGACGGGGACACGGCCCAAACGCCUUGGGGAGGCAGCAGUAGGGAAUCUUCGGCAAGGGACGGAAGUCUGACCGAGCAGCGCCGAGUGAGUGAAGAAGGUUUUCGGGUCGGAAAACUCUGUUUGUAGGGAAGAACGUUGGUGAGAGUGGAAAGCUCAUCAAGUGACGGUAACUACCCAGAAAGGGACGGCUAACUACGUG